AUCUUAAGUUCUUGGCAAAUUGGCAAUAUAAUACACAGGCUAACUUCUACUUCAUAAGAGAAUAACCAAUUCCACAAUCUCUCAUUUAAAUCAAGCACGCAGCACAACUAUGUUUGCAUAUAAGCAACCUGCAGAAUACUGAAUCCACAUAAAACAGUGGCACCAAAACUAGUAUCAUUUUAACACCUUGUUCCCAGUUGGCAUUUAGGUAGUGUCUUCCUAAAUGAGCAGCUAUAAUAAUCCAGAACUGUACAUACUAUGACCUUCAAAUGCCAUCCCUGCGUGAUAGCCCCCUGUUAUAUUCGUUCAAUCAAACAAUGCUGUAGGAGAAAAAGAAUCCUUAAGAAAAAAAAAAUUAUGUGAGCCG
rnacentral:misc_RNA from 1 species